NNNGGAAUAGCUCAGUUGGUAGAGCACGACCUUGCCAAGGUCGGGGUCGCGAGUUCGAGUCUCGUUUCCCGCUCCA
rnacentral:tRNA from 1 species